GAUGAACGCUGGCGGCGUGCCUAAUACAUGCAAGUCGAGCGAACGGACGAGAAGCUUGCUUCUCUGAUGUUAGCGGCGGACGGGUGAGUAACACGUGGAUAACCUACCUAUAAGACUGGGAUAACUUCGGGAAACCGGAGCUAAUACCGGAUAAUAUUUUGAACCGCAUGGUUCAAAGGUGAAAGACGGUCUUGCUGUCACUUAUAGAUGGAUCCGCGCUGCAUUAGCUAGUUGGUAAGGUAACGGCUUACCAAGGCAACGAUGCAUAGCCGACCUGAGAGGGUGAUCGGACACACUGGAACUGAGACACGGCCCAGACUCCUAGGGGAGGAAGCAGUAGGGAAUCUUACGCAAUGGGCGAAAGCCUGACGGAGCAACGCCGCGUGAGUGAUGAAGGUCUUCGGAUCGUAAAACUCUGUUAUUAGGGAAGAACAUAUGUGUAAGUAACUGUGCACAUCUUGACGGUACCUAAUCAGAAAGCCACGGCUAACUACGUG
rnacentral:rRNA from 1 species